rnacentral:rRNA from 1 species
UACGGGGGGAGCAAGCGUUGUUCGGAUUUACUGGGCGUAAAGGGCUCGUAGGCGGCCAACUAAGUCAUACGUGAAAUCCCUCAGCUUAACUGGGGAACUGCGUGUGAUACUGGAUGGCUUGGAUUUGGGAGAGGGAUGCGGAAUUCCAGGUGUAGCGGUGAAAUGCGUAGAUAUCUGGAGGAACACCGGUGGCGAAGGCGGCAUCCUGGACCAAUAUUGACGCUGAGGCGCGACAGCGUGGGGAGCAAACAGG